AUUGAACGCUGGCGGCAUGCCUAACACAUGCAAGUCGAACGGCAGCACGGGAGCUUGCUCCUGGUGGCGAGUGGCGGACGGGUGAGUAAUGCAUAGGAAUCUGCCCAGUAGCGGGGGACAACUUGGGGAAACUCAAGCUAAUACCGCAUGCGCCCUACGGGGGAAAGCGGGGGACCUUCGGGCCUCGCACUAUUGGAUGAGCCUAUGUCAGAUUAGCUUGUUGGUGGGGUAACGGCCUACCAAGGCGACGAUCUGUAGCUGGUCUGAGAGGACGAUCAGCCACACUGGGACUGAGACACGGCCCAGACUCCUACGGGAGGCAGCAGUGGGGAAUAUUGCACAAUGGGCGCAAGCCUGAUCCAGCCAUGCCGCGUGAGUGAAGAAGGCCCUGGUUGUAAGACUCUUUCGGUCCGGGACGGAAAUACGCACAGGUUAAUACCUCGUGUGGAGUGACGGUACCGGAA
rnacentral:rRNA from 1 species